rnacentral:tRNA from 1 species
CCGCCCAUAGCUCAAUGGUAGAGCAGCGGACUUUUAAUCCGUUGGUUGGAGGUUCGAGCCCUCCUGGGCGGA